rnacentral:rRNA from 1 species
CCUACGGGAGGCAGCAGUGGGGAAUUUUGGACAAUGGGCGCAAGCCUGAUCCAGCCAUUCCGCGUGAGUGAAGAAGGCCUUCGGGUUGUAAAGCUCUUUCGCAAGGGAAGAAAACUUACAUUCUAAUAAAGUGUGAGGCUGACGGUACCUUAAAAGAAGCCUUUAGC